UCUCCGUAGGUGAACCUGCGGAGGGAUCAUUACAGAGUUCAUGCCCUCCGGGUAGAUCUCCCACCCAUUACUAUAACUACUCUCGUUGCUUUGGCGGGCCGCUGGGCCCUGCCCGGCCGCCGGCCCCGGCUGGCGCGUGCCCGCCAGAGACCUCACAAACUCUGAAUGUUAGUGUCGUCCGAGUAACUAUACAAUCGUUAAAACUUUCAACAACGGAUCUCUUGGUUCUG
rnacentral:misc_RNA from 1 species